rnacentral:rRNA from 1 species
UCCUACGGGAGGCAGCAGUGGGGAAUAUUGGACAAUGGGGGGAACCCUGAUCCAGCCAUGCCGCGUGUGUGAAGAAGGCCCUCGGGUUGUAAAGCACUUUCAGCGAGGAAGAACGCCUAGCGGUUAAUACCCGCUAGGAAAGACAUCACUCGCAGAAGAAGCACCGGCUAACUCCGUGCCAGCAGCCGCGGUAAUACGGAGGGUGCAAGCGUUAAUCGGAAUUACUGGGCGUAAAGCGGGCGUAGGUGGCUUGAUAAGCCGGUUGUGAAAGCCCCGGGCUCAACCUGGGAACGGCAUCCGGAACUGUCAAGCUAGAGUGCAGGAGAGGAAGGUAGAAUUCCCGGUGUAGCGGUGAAAUGCGUAGAGAUCGGGAGGAAUACCAGUGGCGAAGGCGGCCUUCUGGACUGACACUGACACUGAGGUGCGAAAGCGUGGGUAGCAAACAGGAUUAGAUACCCUGGUAGUCCACGCCGUAAACGAUGUCGACCAGCCGUUGGGUGCCUAGCGCACUUUGUGGCGAAGUUAACGCGAUAAGUCGACCGCCUGGGGAGUACGGCCGCAAGGUUAAAACUCAAAUGAAUUGACGG